rnacentral:rRNA from 1 species
GACAGAGGCCUCGAGCGUUAGGCGGAAUCACUGGGCUUAAAGCGUGUGUAGGCGGGCCCGUAAGUGUCUUGUGAAAUCCCACGGCUCAACCGUGGAACUGCUGGGCAUACUGCGGGUCUUGGGCCAACUAGGGGCAGCCGGAACAAGCGGUGGAGCGGUGAAAUGCGUAGAUAUCGUAAGGAAGACCAGUGGCGAAGGCGAAUCUCUGGACAGUUACUGACACUGAGGCACGAAGGCCAGGGGAGCAAACGGG